rnacentral:rRNA from 1 species
GACGAACGCUGGCGGCGUGCCUAAUACAUGCAAGUUGAGCGAUGAAGCUUGGUGCUUGCACCAAUUUGAAGAGCAGCGAACGGGUGAGUAACGCGUGGGGAAUCUGCCUUUGAGCGGGGGACAACUUUUGGAAACGAAUGCUAAUACCGCAUAACAACUUUAAACAUAAGUUUUAAGUUUGAAAGAUGCAAUUGCAUCACUCAAAGAUGAUCCCGCGUUGUAUUAGCUAGUUGGUGAGGUAAAGGCUCACCAAGGCGAUGAUACAUAGGCGACCGGAGAGGGUGGACGGCCAAAAUGGGAAGGAGAAAAGGCACAAAAUCCUAAGGGAGGCAGCAAGAGGGAAACGUGGGCAAUGGAGGAAAGUCAGACCGAGAAAAGCCGCGUGAGUGAAGAAGGUUGUCGGAUCGUAAAAAACUGUUGGUAGAGAAGAAAGAUGGUGAGAGUGGAAAGCACAUAAAGUGACGGUAACUACCCAGAAAGGGACGGCUAACUACGUG